rnacentral:misc_RNA from 1 species
AGAAUCGUCUGAGGACUUUGAAGACUUUCGUGCUAGACCUAAGCGGAGUAAGGCUUUAGGAGGCACUUCAUCUGCUGCUGCUGCUAGAAAUGCUCAUCAGAGUUUAAUUGAUGUUGUUAAAGGUGAUAGGAGACGAAUUCCUCUAGUGGUCAAGCAUUGGGUGGAACAUUAUGAGAAGGAUCCGAAAGCUGCAAUGGCUGGACUAUUGAGCAUGAUGUUUGAGGCAUGUGGAGCAAAAUAUCAUAUUGAAGAAGAUUUCUUGGACCAAACUGAUGUUGAUGAUGUUGUAGUUGCUCUUGUAAACAUGGCUAAGAGGGGU